rnacentral:misc_RNA from 1 species
GAUGAAGAACGUAGCGAAAUGCGAUAAGUAAUGUGAAUUGCAGAGUUUAGUGAAUCAUCGAAUCUUUGAACGCACAUUGCGCCCCUUGGUAUUCCGAGGGGCAUGCCUGUUCGAGCGUCAUUUCAACCCUCAAGCACAGCUUGGUCUUGGGCUUCGCCGCUAACCCGGCGGGUCUUAAAAUCAGUGGCGGUGCCGUCGGGCCCUGAGCGCAGUAAUCUCUCUCGCUAUAGGGUCCCGGCGGAUGCUGGCCAGUAACCCCCAAUUUUCUAUGGUUGACCUCGGAUCAGGUAGGGAUACCCGCUGAACUUAAGCAUAUCAAUAAGCGGAGGA